AGCGAACGCUGGCGGCAGGCUUAACACAUGCAAGUCGAGCGGGCGUAGCAAUACGUCAGCGGCAGACGGGUGAGUAACGCGUGGGAACGUACCUUUUGGUUCGGAACAACACAGGGAAACUUGUGCUAAUACCGGAUAAGCCCUUACGGGGAAAGAUUUAUCGCCGAAAGAUCGGCCCGCGUCUGAUUAGCUAGUUGGUGAGGUAACGGCUCACCAAGGCGACGAUCAGUAGCUGGUCUGAGAGGAUGAUCAGCCACAUUGGGACUGAGACACGGCCCAAACUCCUACGGGAGGCAGCAGUGGGAGUAUUGGACAAUGGGCGCAAGCCUGAUCCAGCCAUGCCGCGUGAGUGAUGAAGGCCCUAGGGUUGUAAAGCUCUUUUGUGCGGGAAGAUAAUGACGGUACCGCAAGAAUAAGCCCCGCUAACUUCGUGCCAGCAGCAGCCGCGUAA
rnacentral:rRNA from 1 species